rnacentral:tRNA from 1 species
CCUCUCGUCGUUCAAUGGAUAGGACGUAACUUUGCGGAAGUUAUGAUAUAGGUUCGAUUCCUAUCGAGAGGACCA